UACGGGGGGGGCAAGCGUUGUUCGGAAUUACUGGGCGUAAAGGGUCUGUAGGUGGCCAACUAAGUCAGACGUGAAAUCCCUCAGCUUAACUGGGGAACUGCGUCUGAUACUGGUUGGCUUGAGUGCAGGAGAGGAAUGCGGAAUUCCAGGUGUAGCGGUGAAAUACGUAGAUAUCUGGAGGAACGCCGGUGGCGAAAGCGCACGACUGGUCCUCUUCUGACGCUGAGGCGCGAAAGCCAGGGGAGCAAACGGG
rnacentral:rRNA from 1 species